AUUGAACGCUGGCGGCAUGCCUUACACAUGCAAGUCGAACGGCAGCACGGGUGCUUGCACCUGGUGGCGAGUGGCGAACGGAUGAGUAAUACAUCGGAACAUGUCCUGUAGUGGGGGAUAGCCCGGCGAAAGCCGGAUUAAUACCGCAUACGAUCUACGGAUGAAAGCGGGGGACCUUCGGGCCUCGCGCUAUAGGGUUGGCCGAUGGCUGAUUAGCUAGUUGGUGGGGUAAAGGCCUACCAAGGCGACGAUCAGUAGCUGGUCUGAGAGGACGACCAGCCACACUGGGACUGAGACACGGCCCAGACUCCUACGAGAGGCAGCAGUGGGGAAUUUUGGACAAUGGGCGAAAGCCUGAUCCAGCAAUGCCGCGUGUGUGAAGAAGGCCUUCGGGUUGUAAAGCACUUUUGUCCGGAAAGAAAUCCUUGGCCCUAAUACGGUCGGGGGAUGACGGUACCGGAAGAAUAAGCACCGGCUAACUACGUG
rnacentral:rRNA from 1 species